GAAGGUAGCGUAAUCAUUUGUCUUUUAAAUAGAGACCUGUAUGAAUGGCAUAACGAGGGUUUAACUGUCUCCCUCCCCCAGUCAAUGAAAUUGAUCUGCCCGUGCAGAAGCGGACAUAAACACAUAAGACGAGAAGACCCUAUGGAGCUUUAGACAAAAGAUCAAACAUGUAAAGAAACCAAACCAACCAAAAGGAACACAAAGGCCACAAAACCCAACGUAUGAAUGAUCAAAAUGUCUUCGGUUGGGGCGACCAUGGGGGAAAGAAAAGCCCCCACGAGGAACUAAGGGCAAUCCAUUAAGCCAAGAGAUACACCUCUAAGCAACAGAAAAUCUGACCAAAAAUGACCCAGGACACUAAUCCUGAUCAACGAACCAAGUUACCCUAGGGAUAACAGCGCAAUCCUUUCCCAGAGUCCAUAUCGACGAAAGGGUUUACGACCUCGAUGUUGGAUCAGGACAUCCUAAUGGUGCAGCCGCUAUUAAGGGUUCGUUUGUUC
rnacentral:rRNA from 1 species